AGGCAGAGUUCAGAAGAAACUUAAAUAGCACCACAUGCUCCCCAUGACAGAUAUAUCUGAAACCUACUCAAAGCCACCUCCCCUUGCCUUUUAAUUCACAAGUUACUGAUGUCUUCAGAAGUGGAAAAAGAAAUUAAGAGAAGAAAGGAAAUAGCUUUUCCUCUGCUUUCUUCGAGAAUAUCACAUAAUGUUUUUGGCUUUGGUUAGAGAUAAUGACAGCUGUAAAUUGAGUUAAUUAGUUAUAUUGUCUAACCAAACGUGGUUAGACAUUUCACAGAAACUGGGUCUUGGGUUGAAGAUUUGAAGGUGUAUCUGCCAAAAGAAAUGCACCAGGGAAAUCUGCAUCUCAAGAAGAGAGUGGCUACAGGUUCCGUUGUCCUGUAUUUUGUCAUCUGCAAGAGAGCACAAAAACAAACUUGCAGCCUGAUACCAGCUGCUUCCCAUGGAAGCCUUUCUUAGAGUACUACAACUCCUAGUUCCUGACCUUGCUGCCAUUUGCUCACAACAUCUCUUUGACACUAGUGUCACAGCUUGCUGAACCCUGAAAUGUCAUUAAAUCUUUGUAUAAUGAUCUCUACAUAUUUUCUACUGAAACUGGACCAUUGCUCAAGAAUGGCAAAAUUCAUGGGGAGGACAAGGAGAGGACAGAGAUGUGCAGUUCAAGCACUUGGCUGGAAGCAGGCGACUGGCUCCUUCUGAUGCAUUAAUUGAUUAAGGCUCUGCCUGCUCUUAAGAAUGGAUGCUUUUAUCCUCAGUUUAUCCAGGGGGAUAUUGAAACAUAUCCAAGUCAAGUAACAAGCUCAAGGUCACAGAAGGGAGGUGAAAGAAACUGGGAAUCAAACCUUCACAUCUGGAUCUGCAGUGCUGCAAUCUCUGUACUCCAUUGUGUUCAUCAUCCUGUGUGUGCAUGCAGGGCUGAAUCCAGCAAGUUUUAGUGAAGCCUUGCAGCGCUAUAUAAUUAAUUUGUUACGAAUGCCUAUAAAUAAAAUAAACUCUGAAAUGAUCUACACUUCUCUGUUGUCAAAAGCAUCCCCAUCUCUCUCAGUCCCUGCUCACUGGCUGCUGACAUUAUUUCUUGGUUAGUGUAUGACAGUUCAGUGCCUUGAGUGUUCCUCUCGCUGUAGGGUUAGUAGGAUAAUUGACAAACCACAGGGACCAGAUCCCUGGAUUAGGAUGACCGGACUGUCAAAACAGCCAUGACAAACUCUCACAUCAACUUCUACUGCAACUCAGGUCUGUGAGGAAAAAAUGCACCUUGGCACGGCCAGAAGGGAAGUCUUUAGUUUAAAUCUUUUCCCACUGCACAAAAAGCUACAGGAGGGGGAGGAGAGAGCAUGGAUCUUUCUGUUUAAUUCAUAGAAAACUCUGUUACAGCAAGUCACAAUUAAUUAGAGUACUUGAGUAAACAUUUUGGGGUCCUAUUGUGUUUGCUUAAUGUGUUUACUGGAAUGCAUGACAGAUGUCACUUCUGUUUCUUAUUAAAGACUGACAAAUGACUGUAUAUUCAGUGCAUGUGAGUACAUAGAGGGAAUGCAACCCUCGCAUGCACACACACACAAAUUGACUCACUUUUGCAAGGUUAAUAUUAGCAUGUAAAAUUUGCGGGCACUAUCUGUGUUAAUUAGCACAGAACCUUUAACAAUUUCAAGUGUUAUUGAAAGUCCACUAUUAUGAUUACUGAAUAAUAUAUUCAGGACAUAUAUGCUGUUUUUACAUUUAAAUGGAAAAAGAAAGAACACUUGAAACAGUAGUCAAAUCACUUGCUUUACUUCUGUCACUUUUAUCAUUUUUCCUAGAUUUUCAGAAAUUCAAUCACACAUCUUUGAAAUGACAGCCAGAGAGGCAUCUGUUUAUAAAAAAGAAAAGUGUUCUCUUUAUGCAAAACUACAUUGCAAAUUGUUUAAAAAUAUGCAAAUACAGAAGAAGGUUAUUUACUUAGUUCUGCCAGCUAACAUAUGGGAUUGGGACACCUAGGAUUUAAAAUCUUUGUUUUGGUUUGGCUUUGUUUGGUUUAUUUUAAAUAUCAGACUUAAAUAUUGUUUUCAGUGCGCUACUUGGUCUUUGGAGUAUGACCAAAAUGGUUCUAUAAAAAUUAAUCUUUUGUUUGUUUUGUGUUUGUGGUUUGUUUCUAAUUGAGAAAUAAUUUAAGAAAGAAAAGUAAAGUUAGAAGAUUCCACAAGUAAUUCUUUACUUAAUGUCACAGAAUGCAAAACAGCAAAAGAGCCACUAUAAUAACAAGGAUGAGAAACUAAAGAUAAAUGUAGGAGGAAUUGACAUUUUCUAAAUGAAAAAUAA